UUGUCUCAAAGAUUAAGCCAUGCAUGUCUCAGUACAAGCCGCACUAAGGUGAAACCGCGAAAGGCUCAUUAAAUCAGUUAUGGUUCCUUAGAUCGUACCCACAUUUACUUGGAUAACUGUGGUAAUUCUAGAGCUAAUACAUGCAAACAGAGCUCCGACCGGAGACGGGAGGAGUGCUUUUAUUAGAUCAAAACCAAUCGGCGGCGGUGGCGUUCGCGCGUCACCGUACCCGCUCAACCUGGUGACUCUGAAUAACUUUCCGCUGAUCGCACGGUCUCGCACCGGCGACGCAUCUUUCAAAUGUCUGCCUUAUCAACUGUCGAUGGUAGGUUCUGCGCCUACCAUGGUCGUAACGGGUAACGGGGAAUCAGGGUUCGAUUCCGGAGAGGGAGCCUGAGAAACGGCUACCACAUCCAAGGAAGGCAGCAGGCGCGCAAAUUACCCACUCCCGGCACGGGGAGGUAGUGACGAAAAAUAACGAUACGGGACUCAUCCGAGGCCCCGUAAUCGGAAUGAGUACACUUUAAAUCCUUUAACGAGGACCAAUUGGAGGGCAAGUCUGGUGCCAGCAGCCGCGGUAACUCCAGCUCCAAUAGCGUA
rnacentral:rRNA from 1 species